UACGUAGGGUGCAAGCGUUAAUCGGAAUUACUGGCGUAAAGCGUGCGCAGGCGGUUUUGUAAGUCUGUCGUGAAAUCCCCGGGCUCAACCUGGGAAUUGCGAUGGAGACUGCAAGGCUAGAAUCUGGCAGAGGGGGGUAGAAUUCCACGUGAUAGCAGUGAAAUGCGUAGAGAUGUGGAGGAACACCGAUGGCGAAGGCAGCCCCCUGGGUCAAGAUUGACGC
rnacentral:rRNA from 1 species